AAANCCUUUGGAAAUUUUGAAGGGCCUUCGGANAGCACCUCUGGUGGCGACCGGCGCAAGGGUGCGUAACGCGUGAGCAACAUGCCCGUUUCAGGGGAAUAAUCNAUGGAAACUUGGUCUAAUACCCCAUAGUAAAUUUUGUAGGCAUCUAUAAAAUUUUAAAGCUUUGGUGGAUACGGAUUGGCUCGCGUGACAUUAGCUAGAUGGUAAGGUAACGGCUUACCAUGGCUACGAUGUCUAGGGGUUCUGAGAGGAAGAUCCCCCACACUGGAACUGAGACACGGUCCAGACUCCUACGGGAGGCAGCAGUGAGGAAUAUUGGACAAUGGAUGGAAAUCUGAUCCAGCCAUGCCGCGUGCAGGAAGACGGCCCUAUGGGUUGUAGACUGCUUUUAUAUGGGAGCAAUAAGGCCUACGUGUAGGUCGAUGAGAGUACCAUAUGAAUAAGCACCGGCUAACUCCGUGCCAGCAGCCCGCGGUAAUACGGAGGGUGCAAGCGUUAUCCGGAUUUAUUGGGUUUAAAGGGUGCGUAGGCGGUUUGAUAAGUCAGCGGUGAAAUAUUUCAGCUUAACUGGAAGGGUGCCGUUGAUACUGUCAGGCUUGAAUUUAAUUGCUGUGGGUGGAAUGUGUGGUGUANCGGUGAAAUGCAUAGAUAUCACACAGAAUAUCGAUUGCGAAGGCAGCUCACAAAAGCUAAAAUUGACGCUGAUGCACGAAAAGUGUGGGGGAUCAAACAGGAUUGGAUACCCUGGUAGUUCCACACUUGUAAACCAAUGAUAACUUCGCUUGUCGGCGAAUACAUAA
rnacentral:rRNA from 1 species